rnacentral:rRNA from 1 species
GAGUGAAAAAGAACCUGAAACCGUGUACGUACAAGCAGUGGGAGCACCCUUCGGGGUGUGACUGCGUACCUUUUGUAUAAUGGGUCAGCGACUUAUAUUCUGUAGCAAGGUUAACCGUAUAGGGGAGCCGUAGGGAAACCGAGUCUUAACCGGGCGUUAAGUUGCAGGGUAUAGACCCGAAACCCGGUGAUCUAGCCAUGGGCAGGUUGAAGGUUGGGUAACACUAACUGGAGGACCGAACCGACUAAUGUUGAAAAAUUAGCGGAUGACCUGUGGCUGGGGGUGAAAGGCCAAUCAAACCGGGAGAUAGCUGGUUCUCCCCGAAAGCUAUUUAGGUAGCGCCUCGUGAAUUCAUCUCCGGGGGUAGAGCACUGUUUCGGCUAGGGGGCCAUCCCGGCUUACCAACCCGAUGCAAACUGCGAAUACCGGAGAAUGUUAUCACGGGAGACACACGGCGGGUGCUAACGUCCGUCGUGAAGAGGGAAACAACCCAGACCGCCAGCUAAGGUCCCAAAGUCAUGGUUAAGUGGGAAACGAUGUGGGAAGGCCCAGACAGCCAGGAUGUUGGCUUAGAAGCAGCCAUCAUUUAAAGAAAGCGUAAUAGCUCACUGGUCGAGUCGGCCUGCGCGGAAGAUGUAACGGGGCUAAACCAU